rnacentral:rRNA from 1 species
AUGAACGCUAGCGACAGGCUUAACACAUGCAAGUCGAGGGGCAGCGGGGGUAGCGAUACCCGCCGGCGACCGGCGCACGGGUGAGUAACGCGUAUGCAACUUGCCUAUCAGAGGGGGAUAACCCGGCGAAAGUCGGACUAAUACCGCAUGAAGCAGGGGCCCCGCAUGGGGAUAUUUGCUAAAGAUUCAUCGCUGAUAGAUAGGCAUGCGUUCCAUUAGGCAGUUGGCGGGGUAACGGCCCACCAAACCGACGAUGGAUAGGGGUUCUGAGAGGAAGGUCCCCCACAUUGGUACUGAGACACGGACCAAACUCCUACGGGAGGCAGCAGUGAGGAAUAUUGGUCAAUGGGCGUAAGCCUGAACCAGCCAAGUCGCGUGAGGGAUGAAGGUUCUAUGGAUCGUAAACCUCUUUUAUAAGGGAAUAAAGUGCGGGACGUGUCCCGUUUUGUAUGUACCUUAUGAAUAAGGAUCGGCUAACUCCGUGCCAGCAGCCGCGGUAAUACGGAGGAUCCGAGCGUUAUCCGGAUUUAUUGGGUUUAAAGGGUGCGUAGGCGGCCUUUUAAGUCAGCGGUGAAAGUCUGUGGCUCAACCAUAGAAUUGCCGUUGAAACUGGGGGGCUUGAGUAUGUUUGAGGCAGGCGGAAUGCGUGGUGUAGCGGUGAAAUGCAUAGAUAUCACGCAGAACCCCGAUUGCGAAGGCAGCCUGCCAAGCCAUUACUGACGCUGAUGCACGAAAGCGUGGGGAUCAAACAGGAUUAGAUACCCUGGUAGUCCACGCAGUAAACGAUGAUCACUAGCUGUUUGCGAUACACUGUAAGCGGCACAGCGAAAGCGUUAAGUGAUCCACCUGGGGAGUACGCCGGCAACGGUGAAACUCAAAGGAAUUGACGGGGGCCCGCACAAGCGGUGGAGUAUGUGGUUUAAUUCGAAGCAACGCGAAGAACCUUACCAGGCCUUGACAUCCCUUGCAGAGGUAUAGAGAUAUAUCCGAGGUUAUCAAGGAGACAGGUGGUGCAUGGUUGUCGUCAGCUCGUGCCGUGAGGUGUCGGCUUAAGUGCCAUAACGAGCGCAACCCUUGCCACUAGUUACUAACAGGUAAAGCUGAGGACUCUGGUGGGACUGCCAGCGUAAGCUGCGAGGAAGGCGGGGAUGACGUCAAAUCAGCACGGCCCUUACAUCCGGGGCGACACACGUGUUACAAUGGCGUGGACAAAGGGAGGCCACCUGGCGACAGGGAGCGAAUCCCCAAACCACGUCUCAGUUCGGAUCGGAGUCUGCAACUCGACUCCGUGAAGCUGGAUUCGCUAGUAAUCGCGCAUCAGCCAUGGCGCGGUGAAUACGUUCCCGGGCCUUGUACACACCGCCCGUCAAGCCAUGGGAGCCGGGGGUACCUGAAGUCCGUAACCGCGAGGAUCGGCCUAGGGUAAAACUGGUGACUGGGGCU